GAUGAACGCUGGCGGCGUGCCUAAUACAUGCAAGUCGAGCGAACAGACGAGGAGCUUGCUCCUCUGACGUUAGCGGCGGACGGGAGAGUAACACGUGGAUAACCUAACUAUAAGACUGGGAUAACUUUGGGAAACCGGAGCUACUAACGGAAGAUAUAUUGAACCGCAUUGUUCAAUAGUUAAAGAAGCUUUUUCUGACACUUAUAGAUUGAUACGCGCCGCAUUAGCUAGUUGGUAAGGGAACGGCUUACCAAGGCAGCGAGGCGUAGACGACCUGAGAGGGAGGACGGCCACACUGGCAGUGAGACACGGUCCAGACUCCUACGGGAGGCAACAGUAGGGAAUCUUACGCGAUGGGCGAGAGCCGGACGGAGCAACGCCGCGUGAGUGAUGAAGGACUUCGGAUCGUAGAACUCUGUUAGUAGUGAAGAACUAAUGUGUAAGUAACUAUGCUCGUCUUGACGGUACCUGGUCAGAAAGCCACGGCUAACUACGUG
rnacentral:rRNA from 1 species